ensembl:lncRNA
AAGCAUUUCAGUGAUAUCAUCAAAUAGAACUUUGCUCCACUAUUACUUUUCUAUAUACUGUAGAAAUAAACAGAAAUCUCUGCCAUUUACAUUAAGAAACUAAGAAUGUGCAUUGCUGUUAAUGAUGGAAGGGUUUGUACUUCAAAAAAGCAGUGCUUAAGGCUUUGAAGAAACCUGGACCUGGUGAGAAAUUACGUGUAAAAGAUGCAGAGUCCAACCGCAUGAAAAAGAAGGCUUUUUUGGUGAUUGUGCUUAUUCUGAUUUUCAUGGUUAUUACUUAUUUGCCAAUGAUGAUAUUCAUGUUUCUCAUUGAUUAUCUAUCAGCUAUACAGAUAUGGAAGGGUCUGGCAGUGUUUUACUACUUUACGAUAUUUGCUGGAUUUGUGUAUCCAUUUCUGUAUCUUCACAGGAGUCCAACCGCAUGAAAAAGAAGGCUUUUUUGGUG